GCUUACGGCCAUACCACCCUGAACACGCCGAUCUCGUCCGAUCUCGGAGCUAAGCAGGGUGGGCCUGGUUAGUACUUGGAUGGGAGACCGCCUGGGAAUACCAGGUGCUGUAAGCU
rnacentral:rRNA from 1 species